CGCUGGCGGCGUGCCUAAUACAUGCAAGUCGAACGAAGAGUAUAGCUUGCUAUCUCUUAGUGGCGAACGGGUGAGUAAUACAUAAACAAUCUGCCCAUACGACUGGGAUAACCGUUGGAAAACGAUGGCUAAUACCGGAUAGGUGAGAAGGAGGCAUCUUCUUCUUAUUAAAGUUGGGAUACAACACGUGUGGAUGAGUUUAUGGCGCAUUAGCUAGUUGGCGGGGUAACGGCCCACCAAGGCGAUGAUGCGUAGCCGACCUGAGAGGGUGACCGGCCACACUGGGACUGAGACACGGCCCAGACUCCUACGGGAGGCAGCAGUAGGGAAUUUUCGGCAAUGGGGGAAACCCUGACCGAGCAACGCCGCGUGAGUGAUGAAGGCCUUCGGGUUGUAAAGCUCUGUUGUAAGGGAAGAACGGCGAUGAUAGGGAAUGAUCAUCGAGUGACGGUACCUUACCAGAAAGCCACGGCUAACUACGUGCCAGCAGCCGCGGUAAUACGUAGGUGGCAAGCGUUAUCCGGAAUUAUUGGGCGUAAAGGGUGCGUAGGCGGCCAUUUAAGUCUAAGGUGAAAGUUCGAGGCUCAACUUCGAAUUGCCUUAGAAACUGGGUGGCUAGAGUGCAGGAGAGGGCAAUGGAAUUCCAUGUGUAGCGGUAAAAUGCGUAGAUAUAUGGAGGAACACCAGUGGCGAAGGCGGUUGCCUGGCCUGUAACUGACGCUGAAGCACGAAAGCGUGGGGAGCAAAUAGGAUUAGAUACCCUAGUAGUCCACGCCGUAAACGAUGAUUACUAAGUGUUGGGGAAACUCAGUGCUGCAGUUAACGCAAUAAGUAAUCCGCCUGGGGAGUAUGCA
rnacentral:rRNA from 1 species